rnacentral:rRNA from 1 species
UACGUAGGGUGCGAGCGUUGUCCGGAAUUAUUGGGCGUAAAGAGCUCGUAGGCGGUCUGUCGCGUCGAAUGUGAAAACCCGGGACUCAACUCCGGGCCUGCAUUCGAUACGGGCAGACUAGAGUUCGGUAGGGGAGACUGGAAUUCCUGGUGUAGCGGUGAAAUGCGCAGAUAUCAGGAGGAACACCGGUGGCGAAGGCGGGUCUCUGGGCCGAUACUGACGCUGAGGAGCGAAAGCGUGGGGAGCAAACAGG